rnacentral:rRNA from 1 species
GACGAACGCUGGCGGCGUGCUUAACACAUGCAAGUCGAACGGAAAGGCCCUGCUUUUGUGGGGUGCUCGAGUGGCGAACGGGUGAGUAACACGUGAGUAACCUGCCCUUGAUUUUGGGAUAACUUCAGGAAACUGGGGCUAAUAUCGGAUAGGAGCUCCUGCUGCAUGGUGGGGGGUGGAAAGUUUCGGCGGGUGGGGAUGGACUCGCGGCUUAGCAGUUUGUUGGUGGGGUAGUGGCAUACCAAGCCUUUGACGGGUCGCCGGCCUGUGAGGGUGACCGGCCACAUUGGGACUGAGAUACGGCCCAGACUCCUACGGGAGGCAGCAGUGGGGAAUAUUACACAAUGGGCGGAAGCCUGAUGCAGCAACGCCGCGUGCGGGAUGACGGCCUGCGGGUUGUAAACCGCUUUCGCCUGUGACGAAGCGUUAGUGACGGUAAUGGGUAAAGAAGCACCGGCUAACUACGUG